rnacentral:rRNA from 1 species
GAUGAACGCUGGCGGCGUGCCUAAUACAUGCAAGUCGAGCGAACGGACGAGAAGCUUGCUUCUCUGAUGUUAGCGGCGGACGGGUGAGUAACACGUGGAUAACCUACCUAUAAGACUGGGAUAACUUCGGGAAACCGGAGCUAAUACCGGAUAAUAUUUUGAACCGCAUGGUUCAAAAGUGAAAGACGGUCUUGCUGUCACUUAUAGAUGGAUCCACGCUGCAUUAGCUAGUUGGUAAGGUAACGGCUUACCAAGGCAACGAUGCAUAGCCGACCUGAGAGGUUGAGAGACCAAAAUGGAACUGAAAAACGGUCCAGACCCCAAGGGGAGGCAGCAGGAGGGAAACUUCCGCAAUGGGCGAAAGCCUGACGGAGAAACGCCGGGUGAGGGAAGAAGGGUUUCGGAUCGUAAAACCUUGUUAUUAGGGAAAAAAAUAGGGGUAAGAAAAUGGCAACAUUUUGACGGUACCAAAUCAAAAAGCCACGGAUAACUACGU